rnacentral:rRNA from 1 species
AGCUACUAAGAGCGAAUGGUGGAUGCCUUGACUGGUAAAGGCGAUGAAGGACGUACUAGACUGCGAUAAGCUACGGGGAGCUGUCAAGAAGCUUUGAUCCGUAGAUUUCCGAAUGGGGCAACCCAAUGUAUAGAGAUAUACAUUACCUAUAUAGGAGCGAACGAGGGGAAUUGAAACAUCUUAGUACCCUCAGGAAAAGAAAUCAAUAGAGAUUGCGUCAGUAGCGGCGAGCGAAAGCGCAAGAGGGCAAACCCAGUGCUUGCACUGGGGGUUGUAGGACUGCAAUGUGCAAGAGCUGAGUUUAGCAGAACAUUCUGGAAAGUAUAGCCAUAGAGGGUGAUAGUCCCGUAUGCGAAAAACAAAGCUUAGCUAGCAGUAUCCUGAGUAGGGCGGGACACGAGGAAUCCUGUCUGAAUCCGGGUCGACCACGAUCCAACCCUAAAUACUAAUACCAGAUCGAUAGUGCACAAGUACCGUGAGGGAAAGGUGAAAAGAACUGAGGUGAUCAGAGUGAAAUAGAACCUGAAACCAUUUGCUUACAAUCAUUCAGAGCCCUAUGUAGCAAUACAGGGUGAUGGACUGCCUUUUGCAUAAUGAGCCUGCGAGUUGUGGUGUCUGGCAAGGUUAAGCAAACGCGAAGCCGUAGCGAAAGCGAGUCUGAAUAGGGCGCUUAGUCAGAUGCUGCAGACCCGAAACGAAGUGAUCUAUCCAUGAGCAAGUUGAAGCUAGUGUAAGAACUAGUGGAGGACUGAACCCAUAGGCGUUGAAAAGCCCCGGGAUGACUUGUGGAUAGGGGUGAAAGGCCAAUCAAACUUCGUGAUAGCUGGUUCUCUCCGAAAUAUAUUUAGGUAUAGCGUUGUGUCGUAAUAUAAGGGGGUAGAGCACUGAAUGGGCUAGGGCAUACACCAAUGUACCAAACCCUAUCAAACUCCGAAUACCUUAUAUGUAAUCACAGCAGUCAGGCGGCGAGUGAUAAAAUCCGUCGUCAAGAGGGAAACAACCCAGACUACCAGCUAAGGUCCCUAAAUCUUACUUAAGUGGAAAACGAUGUGAAGUUACUUAAACAACCAGGAGGUUGGCUUAGAAGCAGCCAUCCUUUAAAGAAAGCGUAAUAGCUCACUGGUCUAGUGAUUUUGCGCGGAAAAUAUAACGGGGCUAAAGUAAGUACCGAAGCUGUAGACUUGCGCACAACUUAGAUUAUUUAAGUUUAGAAUAUGAGAAACUAAGUUAUGUUUAGUUAUAUUUUUACUGAUUUUUAUAGAGUAAAGAUAGAAAUAAAACUUAGUAAAAUCAGUAAAAAUAUUCUUAGGCUAAAGUUAAGUAGUUUAAGUUGUGUGCAAGUGGUAGGAGAGCGUUCUAUUUGCGUCGAAGGUAUACCGGUAAGGAGUGCUGGAGCGAAUAGAAGUGAGCAUGCAGGCAUGAGUAGCGAUAAUUAAUGUGAGAAUCAUUAACGCCGUAAACCCAAGGUUUCCUACGCGAUGCUCGUCAUCGUAGGGUUAGUCGGGUCCUAAGUCGAGUCCGAAAGGGGUAGACGAUGGCAAAUUGGUUAAUAUUCCAAUACCAACAUUAGUGUGCGAUGGAAGGACGCUUAGGGCUAAGGGGGCUAGCGGAUGGAAGUGCUAGUCUAAGGUCGUAGGAGGUUAUACAGGCAAAUCCGUAUAACAAUACUCCGAGAACUGAAAGGCUUUUUGAAGUCUUCGGAUGGAUAGAAGAACCCCUGAUGCCGUCGAGCCAAGAAAAGUUUCUAAGUUUAGCUAAUGUUGCCCGUACCGUAAACCGACACAGGUGGGUGGGAUGAGUAUUCUAAGGCGCGUGGAAGAACUCUCUUUAAGGAACUCUGCAAAAUAGCACCGUAUCUUCGGUAUAAGGUGUGGUUAGCUUUGUAUUAGGAUUUACUCCGAAAGCAAGGAAACUUACAACAAAGAGUCCCUCCCGACUGUUUACCAAAAACACAGCACUCUGCUAACUCGUAAGAGGAUGUAUAGGGUGUGACGCCUGCCCGGUGCUCGAAGGUUAAUUGAUGGGGUUAGCAUUAGCGAAGCUCUUGAUCGAAGCCCGAGUAAACGGCGGCCGUAACUAUAACGGUCCUAAGGUAGCGAAAUUCCUUGUCGGUUAAAUACCGACCUGCAUGAAUGGCGUAACGAGAUGGGAGCUGUCUCAAAGAGGGAUCCAGUGAAAUUGUAGUGGAGGUGAAAAUUCCUCCUACCCGCGGCAAGACGGAAAGACCCCGUGGACCUUUACUACAGCUUGACACUGCUACUUGGAUAAGAAUGUGCAGGAUAGGUGGGAGGCUUUGAGUAUAUGACGCCAGUUGUAUAUGAGCCAUUGUUGAGAUACCACUCUUUCUUAUUUGGGUAGCUAACCAGCUUGAGUUAUCCUC